UUGAACCGCGUGUUAAACGAAAGAAUGUGUGUCCACGAGUCGAGUAGCUGCAUGGUAUUGGUAUCUGGUGGGCGAAGAUCUUUGGUGAUGGUUGUGGUACAUAUUGCGUGCAUGGUCCUGACCUCGCAGCACUAAGACAAUUACUCUUUGCAAAAAACGGGGGAAUUUCACCUUCCACAUGACCGCCCCAAGAAGAUGCAAGAAGAUGAUCCCGCAUCCACCACCAUUCUUCGCCUGCAACAGGAAAACAGCGACCUGCUGCAGAGCAAUAUCAAGCUGCAGAGCCAGCUGUACGACACCAGGGGCGAACUGGCCAAGGCCAAGCUUCACAUCGAGCAAAUCCAAAAGGAAAUGGAUGAGCACCAACAAAAAAUGGAAACGAUAAAAGAAAAAAUAAACAGGUACCUUAGUGAA